rnacentral:lncRNA from 1 species
UCUGUUAAGUCCCUGGCAAGUGUACCAGAUCGUUAUCAAUAUAAAACGGGUAAGUUCGAGUAUCGGAAUCCUCCUCCUCUCCAUCCUCAGUGUCCUCGAAGUCAUCAUCCUCCUCAUCAUCCUCAUCCAUGGCUGGAGGUUCAGUUGCUCCAGCUCCACUGCCCUAUGCCUGCUCCUCUGGCCAUGCCACCGCAUUAUUGAA